GAUCUGCUUCAUGCUAUCAUCCAAGUUGUGCUGGCAUCUGCACAACUUACAUUGGUAAGCGCUCUAUCACCAUUAGUGUUUCCACAUUUGUUAUUUAUUGCACCAUGGAGCGCUCCUCUUUGUCUUUUUUGUUUUAACCCAGGGCACUCACAAUAGAUGCUUGAAUCUUCUUUAUUUGUGGUAACACAGAUACAUGAAUGUGCACAUGGGCAUGUGUGGACUGACAAACACAGGAAUCCUUCUAAGAGGCGACGGGUUCCGUUUUGUGCUAAGCAAGCACUUCAGCUGGCAUUGCAUCACUUCAUUAGAGACAUAGUUAAAUAAGCCCUGGUUUGGGUAGUCAUGGAAACCACCCAUAAACAAACAGUGUUAGUUAAAGCGAUCUCUAAAAACAAAGAACAGAAGGACAUAUUAUAGCAAAACACUAAGCUCAUUACGUUCAUUCAGUCCAAGAGGACCUGUUGCAUCGAGUUUCAUGAUCCAUCUGGCUUCUUUUCUUAACAACAAUGUGUACUUAUCCACACCAUCACUGGAACACAUCACUUUCUCCAAUGCGGCAAAACAGAAACAAACAUCAAGACACGGUUUGAGAAAGUCCACGAGCAGGGAGUGAGAGACGCCGCUCUCAGUGCAGGGGGCGUACCACUGGAAGACUAGUUUUGCGUCAUCAACUGACGCUUCUUCCGGCAACAGGUGGGCACAGCAGCUUGGUUGAGACGCCACCGGCCGGGCGUUCUCCCGCAGCAUCACAGGAGGAAACUCCACGGACGCCGAGACGGAACAACCGCGCCAGAGUUUGAGGACCCUCCAUACCAUCAGUAACCG